GACGUAGGGCGCGAGCGUUGUCCGGAUUUAUUGGGCGUAAAGAGCUCGUAGGCGGCUUGUCACGUCGGGUGUGAAAGCCCCGGGGCUUAACCCCGGGUCUGCAUUCGAUACGGGCUAGCUAGAGUGUGGUAGGGGAGAUCGGAAUUCCUGGUGUAGCGGUGAAAUGCGCAGAUAUCAGGAGGAACACCGGUGGCGAAGGCGGAUCUCUGGGCCAUUACUGACGCUGAGGAGCGAAAGCGUGGGAGCGAACAGG
rnacentral:rRNA from 1 species